rnacentral:lncRNA from 1 species
CCUAAACUCUCAGACUCAUCUCUGUCAGUCUAGGAAGACUGAGAAAACCUGACUUAAUCACCUCCUUGUGACUCACUGCACCGUGCCCCUUCCUUUUGAACACAUAUAAAUCCUAAUUAUUUUUUAAUCCUUCACUAGAACACCAGCAAAAUGAUGGCUACACUCGCAGCAUACAAAUGUGGACGUGUGCAGGAACCAAAGCCAGGGCUUCAGGGGCUCUCCUGCCUGGGGAGUUGCAUGUUGCCAGGGGGACUCGGCACAAGGGACCUCUGCCUCUCCAGCAGUAAUAAACAGCUGACCAGCAGAUAUUUGGUUACACGUACUGCAAUGACAGCUGAAGGCAGCAUCACUCCACAAGCUGCAUGUGAGAGAGGCCAGCGACGGCUCCGCAGAGCCCUGCCCCACACCAGAGCUGCUGGAGCAGCGCUGAGCAGUCCUUAUCCUGCACAGCCCCAGGACCUCCCUCAGUGUGGGGCUGAACAGUGA